AUAUAUGUAACAUACAUGUGUGUGUAGUCGGUUUGAAUGCAAUAUAAAUACAUGUACAUUGAGAAAUAACACUCCAGUAAUGCAGUACUCGAUAACUGUAGGAGGCUGACUAUACCGUUUGUGUGUGGAGUGACGGGCAGAGCAGCUCGCGACGCCGCCGCAGUCUCAUGUUCCCGCUCGCACGCUCAUCCAAGUUCUCCUACACUGCCAUGAGCUCCAGAGCGCUGACUGGUCUUAUGAGGUAGGCGAAGCUUCAGCCAUCAUUAUGGCUGUGAGGGCGUGGACAAGGUGCGCUGUGACGUCAUCAGGGCCUGGUCGCCCGUGUGU
rnacentral:lncRNA from 1 species